GCCACUGCCUCCACAACGUCCCACCAGCCUCACGGCCUUGCUCCAAUCUUGAUAUUCCAUGGAGGCAACGGGAAGGGAGAGGCAAUAAUCUAGGCUCCAGCAUUCUCUGCUAGGCGGCUCCCAGGGCAGCGAUUGCAGCGACCGGCAGAUGUUGCAUUCCGUCGGAUCCUCAAGUCGCCCAGGCUGAGAGAAUGAGUACGAUAUGGAGAUGGGGUGAGGGACGGACGGGCAAGAGAACAGAUCGAGAGGAGCCAGCCGCCAGAGGAGGCGGCUCAAGAAUAACAUAUUGGAUGACAAAUUUCUUUAGCAUCUCCAUCUGACUUCAAGAAAGUGCUUAUUGAAACCUGAAACAUAUAGAAGUAACCAACCGAGAUUAUGCCAACUUCUUUUAAGUGGAAGAUCUGUAUAGCUUCUAUUGAGGGUGCGUGUCAGAUAAAUCAUUGCACAAAGCAUCAAGGUUCAAAAAGAACAAAGGAUAUUGACACACUACUCGUGGUAGAGUUUGAUAUCGUGAUCUCUUGCGGUAUGAAAAUUAUUUGGUUUGAAGAUAUCAUAAGAUACACUCCUGGGAGGGUUU